rnacentral:lncRNA from 1 species
GCGGGGCAGGCGUGGGUGCACCCAGACCCCCCAACCCUGAUGUCCCCAAUACCAAGGGCAGAGAGCAGCCCUGGCCGGUCCUUGGAGGAUGCGGGCGCCGAGGGGGCCGGGGUCAGUCGGUUCAGAGUCGGAGCAUAAGCCCGGUGGCCGAGUCGGCCGGGUGGUGGGGCGCCGGGGGGGCCGGAGCCGGGCAGGGCAGUGACCCGCUUGCCGGGGUCAAAGUCGCCAGUGUGGGCCGCGGAAGAGGAGCGGCCAGGCGGGGCGCAGACACCCCUCACCCCAUCCUGGGCCGCGCCGGUGCCACCGGGCAGUCCUCGGGGCAGGAGCCCACCGAGGGGAGACAGCGCUGCCUCAGUCCGAGACCUCUGUGAAUGGCGGUGAUGGCUAAUGGGAUGAGGGGGACCACCUCCUGGUGGCUGCAGGGACUGGGGUGAGGGUGCUGUAGGCUCUGCCUAAGUCAAGUGCCAUGGGGCUGAAGAGACGGCGCACCGGCCCUGGAGAAGAGUCCUCCCUGCCCUCCUGUGUCUGGCCUUGUUUCCUGGAGGACAGGUCCCCACGGGGCAGAGGCCCAGCAGUCCCAGGGUCCUCAGCUUCCACCACCCCCAGGCGACGUCUGCUCACCCUGGCUGCCCGCAGCAAGAUUCCUGUUAUCUGGGUAGAGUCCUCAGCCUCCGCCACCCCCAGGCGAUGUCUGCUCACCUUGCCUGCCUUAAGCAAGAUUCCUGUUACCUGGGUUCCUUAGCCUCUGCCACCUCCAGGCCGUGUCUGCUAACCCUGUCUGCCGUCAGCAAGCUUCGUUUUACCUGGGUAGGUUCCUUAGCCUCUGCCACCUCCAGGCCGUGUCUGCUAACCCUGUCUGCCGUCAGCAAGCUUCAUUUUACCUGGGUAGGGUUCUCAGCCUCCGCCACCCCCAGGCGAUGUCUGCUAACCCUGCCUGCCCUCAGCAAGCUUCCUGUUUCC